UACGUAGGUGGCAAGCGUUGUCCGGAUUUACUGGGCGUAAAGAGCGCGCAGGCGGUCGUUCAAGUCGAGUGUGAAAGCCCCCGGCUCAACUGGGGAGGGGCAUUCGAUACUGAUCGACUCGAAGGCAGGAGAGGGAAGUGGAAUUCCCGGUGUAGUGGUGAAAUGCGUAGAUAUCGGGAGGAACACCAGUGGCGAAGGCGACUUCCUGGCCUGUUCUUGACGCUGAGGCGCGAAAGCUAGGGGAGCAAACGGG
rnacentral:rRNA from 1 species